ensembl:snRNA U6 U6 spliceosomal RNA
AUGCCCACUUCAGCAGCACAUAUGCUAAAAUAGGAAUGACACAGAGAUUAACAUGGCCCCUAUGCAAGGAUGACACACAAAUUCGUGAAGCAUGCUAUAUUUUU